rnacentral:rRNA from 1 species
GAUGAACGCUGGCGGCGUGCUUAACACAUGCAAGUCGAACGGUGAAGGCGGAGCUUGCUCUGCUGGAUCAGUGGCGAACGGGUGAGUAACACGUGAGCAAUCUGCCCCUGACUCUGGGAUAAGCGCUGGAAACGGCGUCUAAUACUGGAUACGAGCUGCGAAGGCAUCUUCAGCAGCUGGAAAGAAUUUCGGUCAGGGAUGAGCUCGCGGCCUAUCAGCUUGUUGGUGAGGUAAUGGCUCACCAAGGCGUCGACGGGUAGCCGGCCUGAGAGGGUGACCGGCCACACUAGGACUGAGACACGGCCCAGACUCCUACGGGAGGCAGCAGUGGGGAAUAUUGCACAAUGGGCGAAAGCCUGAUGCAGCAACGCCGCGUGAGGGACGACGGCCUUCGGGUUGUAAACCUCUUUUAGCAGGGAAGAAGCGAAAGUGACGGUACCUGCAGAAAAAGCGCCGGCUAACUACGCG